CAGCCGAGUGCUUCCCAUCAUCACACAGAUGUCUCAAGGGGCUUUGCUUCACGUGGGGAAAUGCUAAACCCUGAAGGCUUUGGAUUAACCUGACCAGAAUUAACCUGAUCAAUUACACUGCCUCCCUCCCCUCUGACCGGUAAGGAACGACCUCCUAGUUUUCUAAUUUGUCUUUCUCUUCUUGCUCAUUUGGUCCUCCACAGCACAAGUGGUCCAGCUGCAUUCUCAUUACUUACAUGCAAGCCAGAGCUCGGGGGUUCAGCCGUCUAUUCUCAGGAAGAAAUGAGGCCGAUGCUCUCUCUAGCCAGUGCACAUAUUACUGACCUGUGGCAUUUCCAACCCUAGGAGUCCAAGAUCUGCCCUCCCCAUAAAUGCACCCAGGCAUCCUGACUACUGUGUCAUCACUCAGUACAAAACCACCUCAGGGAGUGAGAAACCGAUGUCCCCAGCUUCUCUAAUCCUUCCAGUUAUGCAAGGCCUCUGCUGAAGACCUGGCUCUCAAGUUGGCAUGGAAUUUCACAGAGCACAGGGGAGCAGAAAGAGAAGAAAUCUACAAAUAACUGGCAAAGAAUAAAACCUCUCUUCUGAAGAGAAACAAAGACUACGGAGGAGCAGUAUGAAUAAGAAGGCGAAAUGACCAAGGACUGAAUGGAAGACGA
rnacentral:lncRNA from 1 species